rnacentral:rRNA from 1 species
CCUACGGGAGGCAGCAGUGAGGAAUAUUGGUCAAUGGGCGAGAGCCUGAACCAGCCAAGUAGCGUGCAGGAUGACGGCCCUAUGGGUUGUAAACUGCUUUUAUAAGGGAAUAAAGUGAGUCUCGUGAGACUUUUUGUCAUGUACCUUAUGAAUAAGGACCGGCUAAUUCCGUGCCAGCAG